rnacentral:rRNA from 1 species
GAUGAACGCUGGCGGCGUGCCUAAUACAUGCAAGUCGAGCGAACGGACGAGAAUCUUGCUUCUCUGAUGUUAGCGGCGGACGGGUGAGUAACACGUGGAUAACCUACCUAUAAGACUGGGAUAACUUCGGGAAACCUGAUCUAAUACCGGAUGAUAUUUUGAACCGCAUGGUUCAAAAGUGAAAGACGGUCUUGCUGUCACUUAUAGAUGGUUCCUCGCUGCAUUAGCUAGUUGGUAAGGUAACGGCUUACCAAGGCAACGAUGCAUAGCUGAUCUGAGAGGGUGAUCGGCCACACUGGAACUGAGACACGGUCCAGACUCCUACGGGAGGCAGCAGUAGGGAAUCUUCCGCAAUGGGCGAAAGCCUGACGGAGCAACGCCGCGUGAGUGAUGAAGGUCUUCGGAUCGUAAAACUCUGUUAUUAGGGAAGAACAGAUGUGUAAGUAACUGUGCACAUCUUGACGGUACCUAAUCAGAAAGCCACGGCUAACUACGUG